rnacentral:tRNA from 1 species
GCUGUGGCUCGGUGGAAGAGCAUCUGCUUGGCACACAGAAGGUUCCAGGUUCAAUUCUCAGCAUCUCCA